GAAUGAAGAACGCAGUGAAAUGCGAUAAGUAGUGUGAAUUGCAGAAUUCAGUGAAUCAUCGAAUCUUUGAACGCACAUUGCGCCCCUUGGUAUUCCAUGGGGCAUGCCUGUUCGAGCGUCAUUUGUACCUUCAAGCUUUGCUUGGUGUUGGGUGUUUGUCUCGCCUUUGCGUGUAGACUCGCCUUAAAAUAAUUGGCAGCCGGCGUAUUGAUUUCGGAGCGCAGUACAUCUCGCGCUUUGCACUCAUAACGACAGCGUCCAAAAGUACAUUUUACACUCUUGACCUCGGAUCAGGUAGGGAUACCCGCUGAACUUAAGCAUAUCAAUAAGCGGAGGA
rnacentral:misc_RNA from 1 species